CUCGUAGGCGGUCUGUCGCGUCGGCUGUGAAAACUCGGGGCUCAACCCCGAGCCUGCAGUCGAUACGGGCAGACUAGAGUGCUGUAGGGGAGACUGGAAUUCCUGGUGUAGCGGUGAAAUGCGCAGAUAUCAGGAGGAACACCGGUGGCGAAGGCGGGUCUCUGGGCAGUAACUGACGCUGAGGAGCGAAAGCGUGGGGAGCAAACAGGAUUAGAUACCCUGGUAGUCCACGCCGUAAACGGUGGGUGCUAGGUGUGAGCGGUAUUCCACGCCGUUCGUGCCGCAGCUAACGCAUUAAGCACCCCGCCUGGGGAGUACGGCCGCAAGGCUAAA
rnacentral:rRNA from 1 species